rnacentral:lncRNA from 1 species
CGUCCAUUUAUUGGAAAGGGCCACUUACAAUCCACCCUGUGCCCCAAAAUCCUCGUAGUAAUUUAGUACGGCCGUGGACUCUUAAUUAAAAGCCGCCGCAGCCGAGCUUACCUUUCCUAAACCCCACGUCACCCAAGCGAGUGGCGCCGAGGCUUCACACCUUGCCGCACCGGAUUGCCUCCUCCUCACGGCGGGGGAAACCUGGCAGCCACAGGGUCGUACAGCGAGUUUUACAAAAAAUAAUUUUUAAUUAAAUAAAAUAUUAUAACGAUGGUCGAACCGGCGAGCGCCCUCUCUGUUCGAUAAUAAACACACUUUCUCCACAGGCGAAGCGAAGAAAGCUAACUAUGCGCACUGCGCACCCGUCCGACUACGAUCUCGUCGGAGACGGCCAUGGCGGCGCGCGACUCGCAGGCG